UUAUUUUCAAUUUUUUUUAUCUAAAUUAAUUAAAAAUCUUAAUUUAAGUUUAAUUUAAUUCAAAAAUUAACUUGAUUUAUUAACUUAGACAAAAACAUUAAAAAAUUUAUUUUCUUAAUUUAGUUUAAAAAUAAAUUUUUACACUAAUUUAAAUAAAAAGAAUGUCCCAAUAAGUGAAAUUGCGCAUUAAAUCAUUUAAUUUUCUUUAUGUAAUAUUUUAGCAUUUUACUGUCUGCAAGGCUGUAUCACUGUUUGAAUUGAUGGUGUAGCCCUCUAAAUUUAGAUUUGGGCCAAAUCCUUUAAUUUGCAGUCUAAAUAAAUUUGGAUUUUGGAUUUGGAUUUUAGUAAAAUCCAAGAUUUAUAACAGAGGGCCAAAAAUUGCGGAAAUUGUAUUAUAAAACUGUAAUUUUAUAUAGGCAUAUUAUAUGAAAUGAUAAGUUAGAAAUAAAAAAAAAUACAUAUAUAAAUUUUGUUAUUAAAUGUUUAAAAAUAAAAAUUACUUGAUAAAUAUUUGAUAAUUAUAAUUUUAUAGGAUUCACAUGCGUAUGUAUAUUUAUUUUUUAUUAGUCUGUUAUUUUAUAUAGGGCAAGAAAUCGCUACUAUAUAAUUAGUUAAUUACUUCAAAAUUAUGUCGUAGAUAAGACUGAAAUUAGUCAAGAAUUUCCCCGAUGGCGCAUUCUCCUGAUACUCACCUCUUUUCAUAAAAAAUUUUCCUUCCAUUAUUCACUCGACACGCCUCAUUUUCCUUCGAUUCUUCCCUCAAGCCGUUUAUCCCCUCAACCCGCUGCCUUGGUUUUUCAACUCGACACUCGUUGCAGUCUCUUCUCGGCUUUCCUUCGUCUCAGCUUAGGUAUUAGUCUCAACUCUUCAAUGGUUGAUUUCUAUUGAGUAUUGUUUGUUUUUGCUCUGUUGGGUACUGUUUGUUUUUAUAGAGAUAUUGUACACUAAAUUUUUGUUAGCUCAUUUCUGCCUGAAAUUUCCUAAAUGUGUUUUCUAUCGUUGCUGCUCUGUUUUGUUUCAGUUUCUAUUCAUGUGCUAAUUGGCUGGUGAAAAUUAAGGGAAUAAUUUUGCUCAUGUAAUGGGUUUGAAGCAGAUUGCUUUGUGCCCAGUGUGCACUAUUGAUAAGAAAUGUAACGCUUGUAUUUCUUUGUAUUCUUCAGAAUUGAUUAAAAUCCUUGUGUAAUCCCUAAUUUUGUUUUUCUGUGGAUCAAGAUUUUCAAAAGCCAAGUCCAAUUGAGGUGUUUGCUGUAUUGAUUUCCUUGAAUUUUCUAUUCCCAGUUACAAAUUUAUUUGGAAUAGAGAUAUUGAUUACAAAUGAAAGUUGCAAGUUUAGUGGUAAAUUUACAAAUUAUAAGCAUUGCUGGUGCAAGCUGUCCGGUACUUUGUUCCCCCAGCUGCAAUAUGAUGCUACUGAGUGGAGAAUCAAAAUUUAACUUGUGAAAUUUUUUAGGCUCCUGGUCUUUUGAGUUUUACAUGGUUAUUUCUUGUUGCUUUUGUUUAAAAAGAAAAUAGAAAAAAGCUUAGGUGAGGGAGGUUUCAGGCAUACCAUGAAUCCCCUCAGGAUUACAGCGGUGCUUAUAGAUCGCUUACCAAGAGAGGUUCAGUUGAAACAUUCGAACCCUCAACCUAAUGGGAGAGUUUGAUUGAAUACUACUGGUUCACCAACUCUCGUUGACCCUGCAGGUCAUUCUUUAGUGCCACUCGUCCUUGCUGUCUUCUUUUGUUCAUAAACUGAUUAAAGAGACUAGGCAGAGAUUAACCUGCACAUGUUAUAAUAAAGUUGUGUUACUGUAUUAGAUGUCAUACAUAACACAUGGAUAAAUUUUAAGAUAUUUUUGAUGCAUAAUGCUUUUGUUAAUUCCUAGUCAAAUAAAAUAUUGCUAUUACAAUUUUCUCAACAGUUUUAAUGUAAGCCAUUUUCAUUUACAAUUGCUGUAAUGACUAUGCUCACCAUGUAUAAUAAUGAUUGUAUAUGUAAGUUAUCAAAUAACUUAUAUUAAUU
rnacentral:misc_RNA from 1 species